rnacentral:tRNA from 1 species
GAGGGGGUGGCGCAAACGGCAGACGCGCGGCCCGGUGCACCGGCAACCGAACAUGCAGGUUCGAGUCCUGCCCCCCUCACCA